rnacentral:rRNA from 1 species
GACGGAGGAUGCAAGCGUUAUCCGGAAUGAUUGGGCGUAAAGCGUCCGCAGGUGGCAGUUCAAGUCUGCUGUCAAAGACCGGGGCUUAACUUCGGAAAGGCAGUGGAAACUGAACAGCUAGAGUAUGGUAGGGGCAGAGGGAAUUCCUGGUGUAGCGGUGAAAUGCGUAGAUAUCAGGAGGAACACCGGUGGCGAAAGCGCUCAUCUGGCCCAAUACUGACGCUGAGGCGCGAAAGCUAGGGGAGCAAACGGG